rnacentral:rRNA from 1 species
UCGGCGAGGGGCAAUCGCAACGAUUGCGACCCCGGGUCAGGCGGGGGCUACCCGCUGAGUUUAAGCA